rnacentral:rRNA from 1 species
UACGUAGGGGGCAAGCGUUGUCCGGAAUUAUUGGGCGUAAAGAGCGUGUAGGCGGUCCGGUAAGUCAGCUGUGAAAGUCAAGGGCUCAACCCUUGAAAGCCGGUUGAUACUGUCGGGCUAGAGUCCGGAAGAGGCGAGUGGAAUUCCCGGUGUAGCGGUGAAAUGCGCAGAUAUCGGGAGGAACACCAAUGGCGAAGGCAGCUCGCUGGGACGGUACUGACGCUGAGACGCGAAAGCGUGGGGGGCAAACAGG